CCCUGGUGAGCUCAGUUGGCAGAGCGCUCCAGUGGAAAUCGUAAGGUCCCGGGUUCGACACCCGGACCAGGCG
rnacentral:tRNA from 2 species